AUGACGGACUGCACAGUGUAUCUGAGAGAGGAUUUUCAGGAGGCCAGAAAAUCAAGCUGGAGGGAUUCUCAGCGUGUUGGGCGAUUGCUACCUGUUUUGAGUCAGACCAUUGCCACGUCCUUUUCCCCACCUUGGAGACUUCAGGCCUUCAGACAACACUCCCGCACUGGGUUUAUGAGAGUAACCCCCACCUUCCCAGGAAGUUGGAAGCAUUGCCCCAGCCUUUCCAGAAGCUCUGCCUGCCGUUAGCUUGGAUCAUGAAAAUUGGCUCGGCCAGGAGAAUACAUUAUAAGGCCCCAAACCGCGCCAAAUCUUAAGGCCUCAGAGCAUAAAGAUAAACUGAUUUACAAUUAUUUUCAUUAAAAUGUCAUUUUAGGUAUAUGAAUGAACAAGACCCUGGUAAAUAUUUACUAUCUAUUCUGCACUAUAAAAAGUAGGGAAAGAAAGACUCACCUACUUUCAAGUUGUAUUCAGUAUCUGGGAAGAUAAUUUUAAAAGGAAAUCUUUAAAAGACCUUAUCUAUAGAGGGAUGUUUUGG
rnacentral:lncRNA from 1 species